GGGCUCUGUGUCCAUAGAAGCCAGCCCACAGAUUCUUGAUACUUGAGGUCAGCAAGCUACUGAGGAGGACCCCUGAGCUUUCUACCCAGUGACCUUGUGGGGUUCAGCCUUUCCUGACCACCUGAUCACACGCACUGGUCCUGGGCAGUUUUAUUAACAUUAAGCAGCUCCAAGUACAGUCCAUGCUUUAGGUAACUAUUUUUUUGAUUAACAGCCCACUGAAUAGUGAGUUACAAAAUCAAAAGCAAUUCCUGUAGCUAAAAUCUAUUUUUUCUUUUAUUAAUGAUUUUCCUGUUUGUUUUCUCCACCACUACUUGUCACAAAGAAAUGCCUGGUUUUGUGAUAAAGUUAGAAAAUAGAUCAGUAAAAGGGGGGAGAAAAAUCAUACGAAAUCUCAAUACCCAGAGAAAAUCACUUUUUGGUUCAGAAGGUGCAAUAAUGGUAGUCCAUGCAGGUUAAAAUUUUUAAUUACUUGCCAACAUUUUAAAAUAAAAGCUUUUAAUAUUUAAAUCCAGAUUUCCAUGUUUU